rnacentral:rRNA from 1 species
UUUUGCCUACGGGGCGCAGCAGUGGGGGAUAUUGCACAAUGGGGGGAACCCUGAUGCAGCGACGCCGCGUGGGUGAAGAAGCGCCUCGGCGCGUAAAGCCCUGUCAGCAGGGAAGAAAAUGACGGUACCUGAAGAAGAAGCCCCGGCUAACUACGUGCCAGCAGCCGCGGUAAUACGUAGGGGGCAAGCGUUAAUCGGAAUUACUGGGCGUAAAGCGCUCGUAGGCGGUAUGUCAAGUCAAGGGUGAAAUCCCCGCGCUCAACGUGGGAACUGCCUUUGAAACUGGCAAACUGGAGUGUGUGAGG